rnacentral:rRNA from 1 species
ACGAACGCUGGCGGCGUGCCUAACACAUGCAAGUCGAACGAAGCUCUGCGAUACAAGACUUCGGUCAAGUUGAACGGAUGACUUAGUGGCGGACGGGUGAGUAACGCGUGAGGAACCUGCCUUUCAGUGGGGGACAACAGUUGGAAACGACUGCUAAUACCGCAUAAUGUAUUCUGACCGCAUGAUCGGAAUACCAAAGAUUUAUUGCUGAAAGAUGGCCUCGCGUCUGAUUAGAUAGUUGGUGAGGUAACGGCUCACCAAGUCGACGAUCAGUAGCCGGACUGAGAGGUUGAACGGCCACAUUGGGACUGAGAUACGGCCCAGACUCCUACGGGAGGCAGCAGUGGGGAAUAUUGGGCAAUGGGGGAAACCCUGACCCAGCAACGCCGCGUGAAGGAAGAAGGCUUUCGGGUUGUAAACUUCUUUUACCAGGGACGAAGGACGUGACGGUACCUGGAGAAAAAGCCACGGCUAACUACGUGCCAGCAGCCGCGGUAAUACGUAGGUGGCAAGCGUUGUCCGGAUUUACUGGGUGUAAAGGGCGUGUAGGCGGAGAAGCAAGUCAGAAGUGAAAUCCAUGGGCUUAACCCAUGAACUGCUUUUGAAACUGUUUCCCUUGAGUAUCGGAGAGGCAGGCGGAAUUCCUAGUGUAGCGGUGAAAUGCGUAGAUAUUAGGAGGAACACCAGUGGCGAAGGCGGCCUGCUGGACGACAACUGACGCUGAGGCGCGAAAGCGUGGGGAGCAAACAGGAUUAGAUACCCUGGUAGUCCACGCUGUAAACGAUGAAUACUAGGUGUGGGAGGACUGACCCCUUCCGUGCCGCAGUUAACACAAUAAGUAUUCCACCUGGGGAGUACGAUCGCAAGAUUGAAACUCAAAGGAAUUGACGGGGGCCCGCACAAGCAGUGGAUUAUGUGGUUUAAUUCGACGCAACGCGAAGAACCUUACCGGGAUUUGACAUCCUACUAACGAAGCAGAGAUGCAUUAGGUGCCCUUCGGGGAAAGUAGAGACAGGUGGUGCAUGGUUGUCGUCAGCUCGUGUCGUGAGAUGUUGGGUUAAGUCCCGCAACGAGCGCAACCCCUAUUGUUAGUUGCUACGCAAGAGCACUCUAGCGAGACUGCCGUUGACAAAACGGAGGAAGGCGGGGACGACGUCAAAUCAUCAUGCCCCUUAUGUCCCGGGCUACACACGUAAUACAAUGGCGGUCAACAGAGGGAAGCAAAACCGCGAGGCAGAGCAAACCCCUAAAAGCCGUCUCAGUUCGGAUUGCAGGCUGCAACUCGCCUGCAUGAAGUUGGAAUUGCUAGUAAUCGUGGAUCAGCAUGCCACGGUGAAUACGUUCCCGGGCCUUGUACACACCGCCCGUCACACCAUGAGAGUUGGGAACACCCGAAGUCCGUAGUCUAACCGCAAGGAGGGCGCGGCCGAAGGUGGGCCUGAUAAUUGGGGUGAAGUCGUAACAAGGUAACCAUGGGAGCCGGUAAUACCCGAAGUCAGUAGUCCAACCUCGUGAGGACGCUGCCGAAGGUAGGAUUGGCGACUGGGGUG